AGUCGAACGCUUCUUUUUCCACCGGAGCUUGCUCCACCGGAAAAAGAGGAGUGGCGAACGGGUGAGUAACACGUGGGUAACCUGCCCAUCAGAAGGGGAUAACACUUGGAAACAGGUGCUAAUACCGUAUAACAAUCAAAACCGCAUGGUUUUGAUUUGAAAGGCGCUUUCGGGUGUCGCUGAUGGAUGGACCCGCGGUGCAUUAGCUAGUUGGUGAGGUAACGGCUCACCAAGGCCACGAUGCAUAGCCGACCUGAGAGGGUGAUCGGCCACAUUGGGACUGAGACACGGCCCAAACUCCUACGGGAGGCAGCAGUAGGGAAUCUUCGGCAAUGGACGAAAGUCUGACCGAGCAACGCCGCGUGAGUGAAGAAGGUUUUCGGAUCGUAAAACUCUGUUGUUAGAGAAGAACAAGGAUGAGAGUAACUGUUCAUCCCUUGACGGUAUCUAACCAGAAAGCCACGGCUAACUACGUGCCAGCAGCCGCGGUAAUACGUAGGUGGCAAGCGUUGUCCGGAUUUAUUGGGCGUAAAGCGAGCGCAGGCGGUUUCUUAAGUCUGAUGUGAAAGCCCCCGGCUCAACCGGGGAGGGUCAUUGGAAACUGGGAGACUUGAGUGCAGAAGAGGAGAGUGGAAUUCCAUGUGUAGCGGUGAAAUGCGUAGAUAUAUGGAGGAACACCAGUGGCGAAGGCGGCUCUCUGGUC
rnacentral:rRNA from 1 species